rnacentral:rRNA from 1 species
AAUUGGAGGGCAAGUCUGGUGCCAGCAGCCGCGGUAAUUCCAGCUCCAAUAGCGUAUAUUAAAGUUGUUGCAGUUAAAAAGCUCGUAGUUGAAUUUCGGGGUCAGUAGGUUGGUCGUGCCACAGGUAUGAACUGGUCUCACUGAUUCCUCCUUCCUGAUGAACCGUAAUGCCAUUAAUUUGGUGUUGCGGGGAGACUGGACUGUUACUUUGAAAAAAUUAGAGUGUUUAAAGCAGGCUAACGCUUGAAUACAUUAGCAUGGAAUAAUGAAAUAGGACGUUCGAUCUUAUUUUGUUGGUUUCUAAGAUUGACGUAAUGAUUAAUAGGGAUAGUUGGGGGCAUUAGUAUUCAAUUGUCAGAGGUGAAAUUCUUGGAUUUAUUGAAGACUAACUACUGCGAAAGCAUUUGCCAAGGAUGUUUUCAUUAAUCAAGAACGAAAGUUAGGGGAUCGAAGACGAUCAGAUACCGUCGUAGUCUUAACCAUAAACUAUGCCGACUAGGGAUCGGAUGAUGUUAAUUUUUUAAUGACUCAUUCGGCGCCUUACGGGAAACCAAAGUGU